rnacentral:lncRNA from 1 species
AGUGGGGUAUGAGCAGUGUUUUUCUUUUCAGUUCAUUGUGGAUACCACUAAAUUGGGAAAUAUAGUAGAACCUGCUUAAAAUGGUGGACUGUAUUUAUUUUCCUGCAAGAACCUACAGAAAAAGCCCAGAGUAAAACAGUUCUUAAACCUGUGUACAAAGUCAGUAAGAUAGUUUAGACUAUAUGGAAAUCACUAUAUUUUUCAAUGAGAUACACAAACAUACAUUUACACACACUUGUGUGUGUGUGUGUGUAUGUUUUUUAAAACUGUUCUAAGAUUGUGGAAAAAUGAAAUUGCUAAAGACAAGGAGUAAUUUCAGAGAAGCCAGAGUAGACAUCCAGCAGAGUGAAUGAAUGCUGAAUUCACAGACUGCUGAGGAGCAUGGCCUCUCUGGCCUGGAGCUGUGCUUCUAAUGAUCAUGCUUUAAGGACAGAAGCAAAGCCUUAUGUAUAGACAUGCAAAGCAGGGAAUCAGAUCAGAGACAUUAACAUAAAUCCGGAAAUCAGGAAGGUCUAGACAACAAGGAAAUUUGUCUUGGCUCUUGGGUGUGGGAGGAGAAUAUCAUUCUGGAUAUUCACAUGAUUUGUAACCAGAAAUCACACAAUGUGAGAUGUCUACACAGACUUAUAUACUUAUGUGUGUGCUCAUGACAUAGUCUUGAUUUUUUAAAAGUCCCUGAUCUUAUUGGUGAAGCUGAAAAAGGAUUUGGAUGAAGAAAAUGCAAAUCCUCUCUGGGGGCCUGUACCUUUAACCCAGGCUCCAGGGAACUCCUGUUGAAAAUAUGCCAAGAAAUAUAAACUCACAACCCAAGCAAUGCACAAAGAAGCUAUCAUAAAAGUCAAAAGAACAAAGGGCAGAACCAAACUCAUAAACAACCUGUUUAUUUUAUUACUGAAUAUAGGAGAUAAUAAGCAUCUUUGUGUAUUUUAUUUUAAAAGAGAUUACAAACAAGUAAGUAUAAAAAUAUUUUAAAUAAAAAGUGUUUAAAAGGAAAAAAUUUAAACUCUAUGGGAUAUGAUAAAUAGUGUUUUAGAUGUUAUUGAAAAGAUAAAUAGUGAGCUGGAAGGUAGAUCUGAAAAAAAAAUUAUCCAGAAGGAAGGAUUGAGACAGGUAAAGUAAGAAUCAAUAUUUAAAAAACCCUGAAGUUCUGAGCAUCAAAGGAAGUUACAACAUUUGUUUAAUAAAUAUUCUAAAGAAUUAGGAAUGAUUUUUGGACUAACAGUUGACCUCUCAAUCAAAACUCACCUCAAACAGGAAGAUAACUAUCUUCAAAUGGCUAAAGAAAAACUAGGGAAAAAUAAAAAUAUAUUCAAGCAAACAAAACUGAAAAUUUAUCAUUAACAGUAAAGCUACUGAUAUGCCUAAGAAAAGAAGAAAAUCGACUCCAAAAUGAAAUAUAUGCAAAAGUAAUGAUUAAGAAUAUGGUAACAUGGGGGUAGAUAAAAAAAUAACAAUUGCUAACAAUUGUGAUUAGAAAAACAGAGCAAUGUUAAAGAGUGUUGAAAUAGAAUUAAAUAGAGCUAAUUUAGAACAAUUUUAGAAUGCAUGCUGGGAGGUAGAGGGUUGAUAACAUAGGUUUUAUAUUUUACCUAAUGAUAAUAAUUAAACAUGAUUUAUCCUCAGAAUUCUUGGUAAAGUCUCAAAUACAAAAAUGAAAGAUCAGGAGAUGUAGCUAAGUGAUGGAGCACUUAACUAGCAUGCAUGAAACUGGGUUCUGUGCUGAGUACCACUCACAUGAAAAAGAAAAUAAAGAAGACAUCUGUAUCUUCUAAAUCAGGAUCAACAA